GAUCAAGGAUAGGAAACUGUGGGCCUCCACAUGUUGUUGACUUACAAUUCCCAACAUCCCUGACUACUGACCAUGCUGGCAGAAGCUGAUGGAUAUGGAGACCAGCAACUUCAGAGAGGGGAACAGGUCUCUCAUUCCUGGAACAGGCAUUUCAAUCAACAUAUAUGAUCAUUUGUAACAAGAUUCAUAGAGACUGCUGAAAUCCCAAGCAAUUAACAGUAUCACAGUGUGGAUGUGUGUCUGAAUGAACAACUGAUUCAAAGAAAGCCGCUCCAAAAAACAAGGCUAUCUGAAGCACUCCACAGAGUUUCCAUGAAUAUCUGAGUCCAUAGGGCAGAAAAGUGAAACACUCAGUGUGGAAAUAGAGGAAAGGGAUUUACUCUUUCCUAAGAAAUAUGAAAUAUUAUUAAUUACUCUCAAGGGUGAUGCAAUGAAAUUAUAGCAACUUCAUGAAUAAUGUUGAAGGAAAAAUAUCGUAUCAGAGGUUGUGCAUUUAUCAUUCACAUAUUUUGUCAUUUAAAAGGUCAUGCUGCAUCUAUUCCUGCAACUGGGAUUCCCAAAAGCUGGUAAAAAUGAUUAUUGGCACAGUUGCAUUCAUGUUUAUAAGUUAAAUUUCUGUAUUCUUCACUUGACAUCACAAUAGCAUAAAGAUCUGUGGUUUCAGAGAAAUGUGCCACUAAUACAUUGACUUUAAAUUAUUCAUUUAAAAUGGUGACAAUGUCGUCUUAUGUUACAUGUACUCAAAGAUCUCACAGAAAACCCAGGGGAAAACAGAAGAGACACUGCAGAAAAGGAUAUCACUUCAUAGAUAUCAAUUUCCAUAGGAGAGGAUGAAAUAAAAUUCCCUCUAUAACCCAAAAGAUCCAUUUUUAAUUUCAUUUUUCAGUAUUAUUCACCCCAAACAAUGAUAAGAUCCAAGUAUUGUCAGUAUAGCCACUUUUUUUCUAAUGUAUUAGCCAAACUGCUCUAAGCUCUAGGUGCUGCUUAUAACUCAAUAUCAGAACUACAAGCUGCAUUAGAAUGAGCAAUCAGAAAUAAAAACCAAACCAAAAUAUCACUGCAUGUAAGUCAAAGUUUGAAAGGAAUCAUGACGAGGUCUUUCAUGAAAUUUGGGAAAUCUCUUGUUUGGAAAUUAAUUGAUUAAUCUAUGGCCAAAGGUAAAACUACAGAUGAUCAAACUGCCCUCAGAGUGAGAUCUCUCAGCCUGCCAAGUGCUAAGAAGAAUUUUGCAACGUGUCACUUGCAGAUACGAGGUAAAAUGUUCCAUCCUGAUCUAGGCAGGAGCACAACAUGUGUGGAAGCCCUUAGCUAGACAAUUGGUUAUUUUAAAAAAAGGGUAUUGGUCCAGACCAUAGGUAAUAAACCAUGUAGAUCUAGAUCUAGAUGUAA